UUAAUGGAGGCCACUUUAGAUUUGGAUGGUUUUCCUAAUUUUAUUUCAGGAGGAGAGCAAAGUUAAUCGCGGCUCAAUCACAUGGCGAGCCGUCGGGAGUGCAAACUAUCUUACAUUAUUCUAUAUUUCUUGCUAAACGGAAAGUCAAGAUGUCUCAAGGAACAGUAAAAUGGUUCAACGGAGAUAAAGGGUACGGAUUUAUCACAGUGGAUAGUAGCGGCGAUGAAAUAUUUGUCCACUAUAAGGCGAUAACAGGCUCCGGAUACAAGAAAUUGAAUGACGGGGAUAGAGUGACCUUCAGAAUAGAAAAAGGAUCAAAGGGACUGCAAGCGGCAGAUGUCGAAGUCAUGCAAUGCUAGCCGACUCAGGAAGUUUCCGUAGCACCGCUGCUCCCCCAACACCAGACAUAUUAUAGUUAUCAAAACAGAGCAAACGAUUUCGCAUUUUUUUGUCUUUCAUCAUGAACUAAUUAGCUAAUUGCACUUGAUGCCAAGCUAUACAUAUCUGUGGGAUCUGAUCUCACAAGCUCAUUUAGAGAAUAUCACACAGCCAUUAUUACUUUUAAAUCGCCUGUUCAUAACCUUGUGGUGUUGAAAAUUAUUAUUUGAUUUGCUAGUGUCUGGUUCAAGGUCUUAAAUUCAAGUUGUAGGCCGGGUCUAAAAUAUAGGAUUGGUAUAUUGAGUUCAAAAUAAUGUAUUCAAUAUUUUCCGUUCUUGAUUUUCGUAAUAAAUAGUUUCAUUCUGAG